rfam:Streptomyces sparsogenes DSM 40356 contig00314, whole genome shotgun sequence.
CUUGAUCGAGCCGAGCCACAGCGGGCGGUCCGCCGGGCGGUCCGCCCCAUAGGUGGCGAUCAGCGCCUCCGCCUC